AUUGAACGCUGGCGGCAGGCUUAACACAUGCAAGUCGAGCGGAGCGAGGGUGCUUGCACCUUAGCUUAGCGGCGGACGGGUGAGUAAUGCUUAGGAAUCUGCCUAUUAGUGGGGGACAACAUUCCGAAAGGGAUGCUAAUACCGCAUACGCCCUACGGGGGAAAGCAGGGGAUCUUCGGACCUUGCGCUAAUAGAUGAGCCUAAGUCGGAUUAGCUAGUUGGUGGGGUAAAGGCCUACCAAGGCGACGAUCUGUAGCGGGUCUGAGAGGAUGAUCCGCCACACUGGGACUGAGACACGGCCCAGACUCCUACGGGAGGCAGCAGUGGGGAAUAUUGGACAAUGGGGGGAACCCUGAUCCAGCCAUGCCGCGUGUGUGAAGAAGGCCUUUUGGUUGUAAAGCACUUUAAGCGAGGAGGAGGCGCUCUAGGAUAAUACCCUAGAUGCGUGGACGUUACUCGCAGAAUAAGCACCGGCUAACUCUGUGCCAGCAGCAGCCGCAGUAAGAC
rnacentral:rRNA from 1 species